rnacentral:tRNA from 1 species
GGAGGGGUGGCAGAGUGGUCGAAUGCACCGGUCUUGAAAACCGGCGAGCGUGUAAGCGUUCCGUGGGUUCGAAUCCCACCCCCUCCGCCA